rnacentral:rRNA from 1 species
UACGUAGGGAGCAAGCGUUGUCCGGAAUCAUUGGGCGUAAAGCGCGCGUAGGCGGCCCGAUAAGUCCGCUGUAAAAGUCAACGGCUCAACUGUUGAAAGCCGGUGGAUACUGUCGGGCUAGAGUACGGAAGGGGCAAGUGGAAUUCCUGGUGUAGCGGUGGAAUGCGCAGAUAUCAGGAGGAACACCCAUAGCGAAGGCAGCUUGCUGGGACGUUACUGACGCUAAGGCGCGAAAGCGUGGGGAGCGAACAGG